ACCUACGGGAGGCAGCAGUAGGGAAUCUUCCACAAUGGACGAAAGUCUGAUGGAGCAACGCCGCGUGAGUGGAGAAGGGUUUCGGCUCGUAAAGCUCUGUUGGUAGUGAAGAAAGAUAGAGGUAGUAACUGGCCUUUAUUUGACGGUAAUUACUUAGAAAGUCACGGCUAACUACGUGCCAGCAGCCGCGGUAAUACGUAGGUGGCAAGCGUUGUCCGGAUUUAUUGGGCGUAAAGCGAGUGCAGGCGGUUCCAUCAGGCUGAUGUUGA
rnacentral:rRNA from 1 species